rnacentral:rRNA from 1 species
UACGAAGGGGGCUAGCGUUGCUCGGAAUCACUGGGCGUAAAGCGCACGUAGGCGGCUUUUAAGUCAGGGGUGAAAUCCUGGAGCUCAACUCCAGAACUGCCUUUGAUACUGAGGAUCUUGAGUUCGGGAGAGGUGAGUGGAACUGCGAGUGUAGAGGUGAAAUUCGUAGAUAUCGCAAGAACACCAGUGGCGAAGGCGGCUCACUGGCCCGGUACUGACGCUGAGACGCGAAAGCGUGGGGAGCAAACAGG